UGAAUUUUUGUGGUAUUGGGUUUAAGUAGGUUUCUGCCUCUGCUUCUAUAUAUACAUACUCAUUUUAUCAGGGAUGAGAACAUAUUUGCCACUGAGAUUCAAUAUAAAACAAUUUUAUGAAUGUGCAAUAUUUAAUUCUUGUGCAUCAUCCUUGUAUGAUUUUCCACAGAUCCUUUUUAUUAUAGAGCAUACAGUACAGGGCAGUGAUAUUUUAGACCACAUGUUUUACAUACUUCAGGACCUCAACGUAGUCACUGGAAAAGAUUCCUACAGCAGAAAUGAUAAGUCAUGGCCUGAAACAGUGACAGAGCACUUGGUGGGAAAGCAGGGCCAACCCAGGGGAGCUCAGGUGCAUGCAAUGUAGCUGAAUGACUGAAAGGGCUGGAGCCAGGAUCCACUCCUUUCCAAAUCUCAUUUAAGGCUUGGCAGUGGAGGCAAGGGUAUCUUGCUGGAGAUUUCUGCUUUCCAGAGGCUUUCCACAGGAAAGCUGUUUGUUUGCCGGAUCAUUGCAUGUCAAAAAGUGACUCCUGGCAAGUUGUGUGAGGCAUCUGACGGACACCAGAACAGGGGCAUUUAUGGCAAACCUAUAACAGAAGCCUUUAUGUGCACCACGACAUCUUACAGCCCACAGGGAGCUCCCAUGCAGAGGAACGCCAGCAUUGCCUUUUGGAGAAGCCUUACGCAGGCGAAAACCUUAGCGCCUUCAAUCUAAUCG